UACGUAGGGGGCUAGCGUUGUCCGGAUUUAUUGGGCGUAAAGAGCUCGUAGGCGGCUCGGUAAGUCGGAUGUGAAACCUCCAGGCUCAACCUGGAGACGCCAUCUGAUACUGCCGUGGCUUGAGUCCGGUAGAGGAGCAGGGAAUUCCUGGUGUAGCGGUGAAAUGCGCAGAUAUCGGGAGGAACACCUGAGGCGAAGGCGGGCUACUGGGCCGAUACUGACGCUGAUGCGCGAAAGCCAGGGGAGCGAACGGGG
rnacentral:rRNA from 1 species